GAUGUCUCCAGACCAACCCUAAAGAAGUGCUCCCUGAUCUUUGAAAUUGAAUACACUUUUCUGUCUUUCCAUAAGUUGUCCCUUAAUUUGAACUGCAACCAAAUGAAGAGUGUAAUUACUUCCUUCAAGCCAUCCUGUCAUAUAAAGGUGAAUCCUCCUGCGGAGCCAAAAGUCAACUUCACCUCUGUUUCCUGGUUGUCCCAAGUCCCCAAACAUGAAAGGAUCAGUUCAUACACAAGUGUAGUGCAGUGGAAGAAGCAGGAUCAGUCAUGGAGUGAUUGCGCUGUGCACAAAAAACGUGGCAUUCAAUGUGGGCAGGAGUGCAAGGCAGAGCUGGAGCCAGAUUUGCUGAUACGAGGCGAGAGGUACGAGGCACGCGUUCGUGUGCGGUCUAUUUUUCAGCACCGCAAGGGAGCCUGGAGUGACUGGAGCCCCACUGCAUCAUGGGAGUCA